GGCCAAUGAUGUGACAAUAUAUUUGCUACUCUUGAAGGCUAAUGCAAGUGAUGAACAUCAUCCACCAAGAUCUCUGAGGCC